AGCCGAACAUCGCCGCUGCUCGAGGUCCGUUCGCAAGAAAGCUAUUGGCGAUGGCGGGGGACCCAUUUGGGCCUCACACACUUUGGGCCCUUGGGGUUAAGCACACAAACUCUCUUAGCGAUAGACGUGUGUCGAAGACGAAAGUCUUCGAACCCGACAGCUCACCUCGCAGGCGCUGGGAGAGGUACU
rnacentral:sRNA from 2 species